UUAAUUGAAGAGUUUGAUCAUGGCUCAGAUUGAACGCUGGCGGCAGGCCUAACACAUGCAAGUCGGACGGUAACAGGAAGCAGCUUGCUGCUUUGCUGACGAGUGGCGGACGGGUGAGUAAUGUCUGGGAAACUGCCUGAUGGCGGGGGAUAACCACUGGAAACGGUGGCUAAUACCGCAUAACGUCGCAAGACCAAAGAGGGGGACCUUCGGGCCUCUUGCCAUCAGAUGUGCCCAGAUGGGAUUAGCCAGUUGGUGAGGUAACGGCUC
rnacentral:rRNA from 1 species